AACGAACGCUGGCGGCAUGCCUAAUACAUGCAAGUCGAACGAGAUCUUCGGAUCUAGUGGCGCACGGGUGCGUAACGCGUGGGAAUCUGCCCUUGGGUUCGGAAUAACGUCGGGAAACUGACGCUAAUACCGGAUGAUGACGUAAGUCCAAAGAUUUAUCGCCCAAGGAUGAGCCCGCGUAGGAUUAGCUAGUUGGUGGGGUAAAGGCCCACCAAGGCGACGAUCCUUAGCUGGUCUGAGAGGAUGAUCAGCCACACUGGGACUGAGACACGGCCCAGACUCCUACGGGAGGCAGCAGUAGGGAAUAUUGGACAAUGGGGGCAACCCUGAUCCAGCAAUGCCGCGUGAGUGAUGAAGGCCUUAGGGUCGUAAAGCUCUUUUACCCGGGAUGAUAAUGACAGUACCGGGAGAAUAAGCCCCGGCUAACUCCGUGCCAGCCGCCGCCGUAA
rnacentral:rRNA from 1 species